AUUGAACGCUGGCGGCAGGCCUAACACAUGCAAGUCGAACGGUAACAGGAAGAAGCUUGCUUCUUUGCUGACGAGUGGCGGACGGGUGAGUAAUGUCUGGGAAACUGCCUGAUGGAGGGGAUAACUACUGGAAACGGUAGCUAAUACCGCAUAACGUCGCAAGACCAAAGAGGGGGACCUUCGGGCCUCUUGCCAUCGGAUGUGCCCAGAUGGGAUUAGCUAGUAGGUGGGGUAACGGCUCACCUAGGCGACGAUCCCUAGCUGGUCUGAGAGGAUGACCAGCCACACUGGAACUGAGACACGGUCCAGACUCCUACAGGAGGCAGCAGUGGGGAAUAUUGCACAAUGGGCGCAAGCCUGAUGCAGCCAUGCCGCGUGUAUGAAGAAGGCCUUCGGGUUGUAAAGUACUUUCAGCGGGGAGGAAGGGAGUAAAGUUAAUACCUUUGCUCAUUGACGUUACCCGCAGAAGAAGCACCGGCUAACUCCGUG
rnacentral:rRNA from 1 species